ACAUAUAUGUAUUUAAAGUCUACGUGUACACUUAUGUAAAUAUAUAUAUUUACAUAAGUGUACACGUAGACUUUAAAUGUAUAUAUAUU